rnacentral:rRNA from 1 species
AUUGAACGCUGGCGGCAUGCCUUACACAUUCAAGUCGAACGGUAACAGGUCUUUCGGGAUGCUGACGAGUGGCGAACGGGUGAGUAAUACAUCGGAACGUGCCUUGUAGUGGGGGAUAACUACUUGAAAGAGUGGCUAAUACCGCAUGAGAUCUAUGGAUGAAAGCAGGGGACCUUCGGGCCUUGUGCUACUAGAGCGGCCGAUGGCAGAUUAGGUAGUUGGUGGGAUAAAAGCUUACCAAGCCUGCGAUCUGUAGCUGGUUUGAGAGGACGAUCAGCCCCACUGGGACUGAGACACGGCCCCGACUCCUUCGGGAGGCAGCAGUGGGGAAUUUUGGACAAUGGGGGAAACCCUGAUCCAGCAAUGCCGCGUGCAGGAUGAAGGCCUUCGGGUUGUAAACUGCUUUUGUUCGGAACGAAAAGUCUUGGGGUAAUACCCUGGGAUCAUGACGGUUCAAGGAGAAUAAGCACCGGCUAACUACGUG